rnacentral:rRNA from 1 species
UAGGGAAUAUUGGACAAUGGGCGCAAGCCUGAUCCAGCCAUGCCGCGUGAGUGAAGAAGGCCCUCGGGUUGUAAAGCUCUUUUGUCCGGAAAGAAAAGUAUCGGGUUAAUACCCCGGUGUUCUGACGGUACCGGAAGAAUAAGCACCGGCUAACUUCGUGCCAGCAGCCGCGGUAAUACGAAGGGUGCAAGCGUUACUCGGAAUUACUGGGCGUAAAGCGUGCGUAGGUGGUUCGUUAAGUCUGAUGUGAAAGCCCUGGGCUCAACCUGGGAAUGGCACUGGAAACGGGCGUACUGGAGUGCGGUAGAGGGUAGCGGAAUUCCCGGUGUAGCAGUGAAAUGCGUAGAGAUCGGGAGGAACAUCCGUGGCGAAGGCGGCUACCUGGACCAGCACUGACACUGAGGCACGAAAGCGUGGGGAGCAAACA